rnacentral:rRNA from 1 species
UAAGGAAUAUUGGUCAAUGGACGCAAGCCUGAUCCAGCCAUGCCGCGUGCAGGAUGAAGGCCUUCGGGUUGUAAACUGCUUUUGUACGGAACGAAAAGGUGCCUUCUAAUAAAGGGCGCUCAUGACGGUACCGUAAGAAGAAGCACCGGCUAACUACGUGCCAGCAGCCGCGGUAAUACGUAGGGUGCGAGCGUUAAUCGGAAUUACUGGGCGUAAAGCGUGCGCAGGCGGUCUUGCAAGACAGUGGUGAAAUCCCCGGGCUCAACCUGGGAACUGCCAUUGUGACUGCAAGGCUGGAGUACGGCAGAGGGGGAUGGAAUUCCGCGUGUAGCAGUGAAAUGCGUAGAUAUGCGGAGGAACACCGAUGGCGAAGGCAGUCCCCUGGGCCUGUACUGACGCUCAUGCACGAAAGCGUGGGGAGCAAACA